UACGAAGGGGGCUAGCGUUGCUCGGAAUCACUGGGCGUAAAGCGCACGUAGGCGGAUUGCUAAGUCAGGGGUGAAAUCCUGGAGCUCAACUCCAGAACUGCCUUUGAUACUGGCGACCUUGAGUCCGGGAGAGGUGAGUGGAACUGCGAGUGUAGAGGUGAAAUUCGUAGAUAUUCGCAAGAACACCUAUGGCGAAGGCAGCUCUCUGGGACGGUACUGACGCUGAGACGCGAAAGCGUGGGAGCGAACAGG
rnacentral:rRNA from 1 species